rnacentral:rRNA from 1 species
AGAGUUUGAUCCUGGCUCAGGAUGAACGCUAGCGGCAGGCUUAACACAUGCAAGUCGAGGGGUAUCCCGCUUUCGGGCGGGAGAGACCGGCGCACGGGUGCGUAACGCGUAUGCAAUCUGCCUUUUACAGGGGGAUAGCCCAGAGAAAUUUGGAUUAAUACCCCAUAGUAUAGUGAGUUGGCAUCAGCACACUAUUAAAGUCACAACGGUAAAAGAUGAGCAUGCGUCCCAUUAGCUAGAUGGUAAGGUAACGGCUUACCAUGGCCACGAUGGGUAGGGGUCCUGAGAGGGAGAUCCCCCACACUGGUACUGAGACACGGACCAGACUCCUACGGGAGGCAGCAGUGAGGAAUAUUGGACAAUGGGCGCAAGCCUGAUCCAGCUAUGCCGCGUGCAGGAUGACGGUCCUAUGGAUUGUAAACUGCUUUUAUACGAGAAGAAACACUCCUUCGUGAAGGAAUUUGACGGUAUCGUAAGAAUAAGGAUCGGCUAACUCCGUGCCAGCAGCCGCGGUAAUACGGAGGAUCCAAGCGUUAUCCGGAAUCAUUGGGUUUAAAGGGUCUGUAGGCGGUCUUGUAAGUCAGUGGUGAAAGCCCAUCGCUCAACGGUGGAACGGCCAUUGAUACUGCAGGACUUGAAUUAUUAGGAAGUAACUAGAAUAUGUAGUGUAGCGGUGAAAUGCUUAGAGAUUACAUGGAAUACCAAUUGCGAAGGCAGGUUACUACUAAUGGAUUGACGCUGAUGGACGAAAGCGUGGGUAGCGAACAGGAUUAGAUACCCUGGUAGUCCACGCCGUAAACGAUGGAUACUAGCUGUUGGGGGCAACUUCAGUGGCUAAGCGAAAGUGAUAAGUAUCCCACCUGGGGAGUACGAACGCAAGUUUGAAACUUAAAGGAAUUGACGG